rnacentral:rRNA from 1 species
GGACUACCGGGGUAUCUAAUCCUGUUUGCUCCCCACGCUUUCGCGCCUCAGCGUCAGUAAUGGACCAGGUCGCCGCCUUCGCCACCGGUGUUCUUCCCAAUAUCUACGAAUUUCACCUCUACACUGGGAAUUCCACGACCCUCUUCCACACUCCAGUCUCCCUGUAUUAAGCGCAGCCCCCAGGUUGAGCCCAGGAAUUUCACGCCUAACUAGAAAAACCGCCUACGCGCCCUUUACGCCCAGUCAUUCCGAGCAACGCUAGCCCCCUUCGUAUUACCGCGGCUGCUGGCAC